rnacentral:rRNA from 1 species
AAUGAACGCUGGCGGCGUGCUUAACACAUGCAAGUCGAACGUGAAAGUCCGCAAGGAUGAGUAAAGUGGCAAACGGGUGAGUAACACGUGGGUAAUCUGCCUUCCGAUGGGGAAUAACAGUUCGAAAGGGCUGCUAAUACCGCAUGACAAACCGCUAUCAAGUUAGUCGGUUUCAAAGCAGCAAUGCGUCGGAAGAGGAGCCCGCGGCCCAUUAGCUAGUUGGUAGGGUAAUGGCCUACCAAGGCGACGAUGGGUAGCCGGCCUGAGAGGGUGUACGGCCACACUGGAACUGAGACACGGUCCAGACUCCUACGGGUGGCAG